rnacentral:misc_RNA from 1 species
GAGAAGAGAAAACGAGAGAAGUCUACGAACAAGCAUGAAAAUUCCUUCUACAAUUCUCCUUCUCGCGCUUCUAAUCGCCUCUUCUGUAAUUCACGUAAGAUCGGACGCCUCCGAUCACCGCUUCAAGGACGGCGAUUCUGUUCCCCUGUACGCCAAUAAGGUCGGCCCCUUUCACAACCCCAGUGAAACGUAUCGCUAUUUCGAUCUGCCCUUCUGUGUUCCAGAACACCUGAAAGAGAAAACAGAAGCUCUUGGUGAGGUGUUGAAUGGGGAUCGUUUAGUCAGUGCUCCCUACAAACUCAACUUUAGAGAUGAGAAGGACACAGCGGUUGUUUGUCAGAAGAAGCUUACAAAGGAAGAAGUUGCUCAGUUCCGAUCUGCAGUUGAGAAAGACUAUUACUUCCAGAUGUACUAUGAUGAUUUGCCAAUUUGGGGAUUCAUAGGAAAGGUUGACAAGGAAGGCAAAGCUGACCCAAGUGAAUACAAAUACUUCCUUUACAAGCAUAUCCAAUUUGAUGUUCUUUAUAAUAAGGACCGUGUGAUUGAAGUAAGUACCCGGAUGGAUCCUCAUUCACUGUUGGAUCU